rnacentral:rRNA from 1 species
UACGUAGGGUGCAAGCGUUGUCCGGAAUUAUUGGGCGUAAAGAGCUCGUAGGCGGUUUGUUGCGUCGGCUGUGAAAUCCCGAGGCUCAACCUCGGGUCUGCAGUCGAUACGAGCAAACUAGAGUGUUGCAGGGGAGACUGGAAUUCCUGGUGUAGCGGUGAAAUGCUGCAGACUAUCAGGAGGAACACCGGUGGCGAAGGCGGCAUCCUGGACCGGCAUUGACGCUGGAGGCGACGAAAGCUAGGGGAGCAAACGGG